UGUUCCUACGGGAGGCAGCAGUGAGGAAUAUUGGUCAAUGGGCGGAAGCCUGAACCAGCCAAGUCGCGUGAGGGAAUAAGGCCCUACGGGUCGUAAACCUCUUUUGCCGGGGAGCAAGGGCGGGGACGUGUCCCGGCCCGGAGAGUACCCGGAGAAAAAGCAUCGGCUAACUCCGUGCCAGCAGCCGCGGUAAUACGGAGGAUGCGAGCGUUAUCCGGAUUUAUUGGGUUUAAAGGGUGCGUAGGCGGAACAUUAAGUCAGCGGUAAAAUCGAGGGGCUCAACCCCUUUAAGCCGUUGAACCUGG
rnacentral:rRNA from 1 species